GUGCUCGCUUCAGCAGCACAUAUACUAAAUUUGGGAUGAUACAGAGAAGAUUAGCAUGGCCCCUAUGCAAGGAUGUAGGCAAAUUCAGGAAGCAUUUCAUAUUUUU
ensembl:snRNA U6 U6 spliceosomal RNA